UGGGGAAUCUUGCGCAAUGCGCGAAAGCGUGACGCAGCAACGCCGCGUGAGGGAAGACGGCCUUCGGGUUGUAAACCUCUUUCAGGAGGGACGAAGGUCCGCCCGCGAAUAGCGAGGCGGAUUGACGGUACCUCCAGAAGAAGCCCCGGCUAACUACGUGCCAGCAGCCGCGGUAAUACGUAGGGGGCAAGCGUUGUCCGGAAUCAUUGGGCGUAAAGCGCGCGUAGGCGGCCCGGUAAGUCCGCUGUGAAAGUCAAAGGCUCAACCUUUGAAUGCCGGUGGAUACUGUCGGGCUAGAGUCCGGAAGAGGCGAGUGGAAUUCCUGGUGUAGCGGUGGAAUGCGCAGAUAUCAGGAGGAACACCAAUAGCGAAGGCAGCUCGCUGGGACGGUACUGACGCUAAGGCGCGAAAGCGUGGGGAGCGAACAG
rnacentral:rRNA from 1 species